rnacentral:rRNA from 1 species
GGCAGCCGCGGUAAUUCCAGCUCCAAUAGCGUAUAUUAAAGUUGUUGCAGUUAAAAAGCUCGUAGUUGAAUUUCGGGAUCAAUAUGUUGGUCGUGCCUCGGUACGUACUAGCUUAUUGGUUUCUCCUUUCUGAAGAACCAUGAUGUCAUUUAUUUGGUGUCGUGGGGAAUCAGGACUGUUACUUUGAAAAAUUAGAGUGUUUAAAGCAGGCUCACGCUUGAAUACAUUAGCAUGGAAUAAUGAAAUAGGACGUUUGAUUCUAUUUUGUUGGUUUCUAGGAUCGACGUAAUGAUUAAUAGGGAUAGUUGGGGGCAUUAGUAUUCAAUUGUCAGAGGUGAAAUUCUUGGAUUUAUUGAAGACUAACUACUGCGAAAGCAUUUGCCAAGGAUGUUUUCAUUAAUCAAGAACGAAAGUUAGGGGAUCGAAGACGAUCAGAUACCGUCGUAGUCU